UACGUAGGGGGCAAGCGUUGUCCGGAAUCAUUGGGCGUAAAGAGCGUGUAGGCGGCUUGGUAAGUCCGCUGUGAAAGUCAAAGGCUCAACCUUUGAAUGUCAGCGGAUACUGCCGGGCUAGAGUCCGGAAGAGGCGAGUGGAACUCCUGGUGUAGCGGUGGAAUGCGCAGAUAUCAGGAAGAGCACCAACGGCGAAGGCAGCUCGCUGGGACGGAACUGACGCUAAGGCGCGAAAGCGUGGGGAGCGAACAGG
rnacentral:rRNA from 1 species